rnacentral:rRNA from 1 species
AUUGAACGCUGGCGGCAUGCCUUACACAUGCAAGUCGAACGGUAACGGGCCUUCGGGUGCCGACGAGUGGCGAACGGGUGAGUAAUACAUCGGAACGUGCCCGAUCGUGGGGGAUAACGAGGCGAAGGCUUUGCUAAUACCGCAUACGAUCUACGGAUGAAAGCAGGGGACCGCAAGGCCUUGCGCGGACGGAGCGGCCGAUGGCAGAUUAGGUAGUUGGUGGGAUAAAAGCUUUCCAAGCCGACGAUCUGUAGCUGGUCUGAGAGGAUGAUCAGCCACACUGGGACUGAGACACGGCCCAGACUCCUACGGGAGGCAGCAGUGGGGAAUUUUGGACAAUGGGCGCAAGCCUGAUCCAGCCAUGCCGCGUGCAGGAUGAAGGCCUUCGGGUUGUAAACUGCUUUUGUACGGAACGAAAAGCCUUCUUUUAAUACAGGAGGGUCAUGACGGUACCGUAAGAAUAAGCACCGGCUAACUACGUG